UGAAGCAAUUCCACUGGGGUUCGAGGCCAU
rnacentral:piRNA from 1 species